rnacentral:lncRNA from 10 species
UGAUGCUCACGCUGACGACGAUACAACUGUAGACGUCAGCCUGGCAAGAGAUUUCUUGGAGAGAGAAGGAGAGACAGACAGAGGAGAAAAGAAAAUAAAGGAAGAAAAGAAAGAAAGAAAGAAAGAAAGAAAGAAAGAAAGAAAGAAAGAAAGAAAGAAAGAAAGAAAGAAAGAAAGGAAAAAAUAUUCAACCCAAGGGCAAAAAGUGAACCACGAACAAAGAUGCUGGAGUUACACUUAUUUUUUUUUGUCUUUUUUUUUUUUUCCUUUUUCUGGAGAACGGGGUCUCACUAUAUUGCCCAGGCAGGUCUCAAACUCCUGGGCUCAAGCUAUCCUCCUGCCUCUUGCCUCCCUGAAAGCUGGGAUUACAGGUGUGAGCCACCGCGCCCGGCCAAAGAUGCUGGAAAGUGAUCUAAAAGUAUUAGCAUUACUUUCCAUUU